rnacentral:rRNA from 2 species
UACGUAGGUGGCAAGCGUUGUCCGGAAUUAUUGGGCGUAAAGCGCGCGCAGGCGGCUUCCUAAGUCUGAUGUGAAAUCUUGCGGCUCAACCGCAAGCGGCCAUUGGAAACUGGGGAGCUUGAGUACAGAAGAGGAGAGUAGAAUUCCACGUGUAGCGGUGAAAUGCGUAGAGAUGUGGAGGAAUACCGGUGGCGAAGGCGGCUCUCUGGUCUGUUACUGACGCUGAGGUGCGAAAGCGUGGGGAGCAAACAGG